rnacentral:rRNA from 1 species
AGUGAACGCUGGCGGUAGGCCUAACACAUGCAAGUCGAACGGCAGCACAGUAAGAGCUUGCUCUUACGGGUGGCGAGUGGCGGGCGGGUGAGGAAUACAUCGGAAUCUACUUUUUCGUGGGGGAUAACGUAGGGAAACUUACGCUAAUACCGCAUACGACCUACGGGUGAAAGCAGGGGAUCUUCGGACCUUGCGCGAUUGAAUGAGCCGAUGUCGGAUUAGCUAGUUGGCGGGGUAAAGGCCCACCAAGGCGACGAUCCGUAGCUGGUCUGAGAGGAUGAUCAGCCACACUGGAACUGAGACACGGUCCAGACUCCUACGGGAGGCAGCAGUGGGGAAUAUUGGACAAUGGGCGCAAGCCUGAUCCAGCCAUACCGCGUGGGUGAAGAAGGCCUUCGGGUUGUAAAGCCCUUUUGUUGGGAAAGAAAUGCAGCAGGUUAAUACCCCGCUGUUCUGACGGUACCCAAAGAAUAAGCACCGGCUAACUUCGUG